AGCAGCCGCGGUAAUUCCAGCUCCAAUAGCGUAUAUUAAAGUUGUUGCAGUUAAAAAGCUCGUAGUUGAAUUUUGGGUUUGGCCGAUUGGUCCGUUCUUGUAACGAGUACUGGUCGGUUGGGCCUCACCGCUUGGUGAUGCGUAAUGCCCUUUAUUGGGUGUUGCGAGUAGCCAAGACCUUUACCUUGAAAAAAUUAGAGUGUUUAAAGCAGGCAUAUGCCGGAAUACAUUAGCAUGGAAUAAUAGAAUAGGACAACGAUUCUAUUUUGUUGGUUUCUAGGACCGUUGUAAUGAUUAAUAGGGAUAGUUGGGGGCAUUAGUAUUCAAUUGUCAGAGGUGAAAUUCUUGGAUUUAUUGAAGACUAACUACUGCAAAAGCAUUUGCCAAGGAUGUUUUCAUUAAUUAAGAACGAAAGUUAGGGGAUCGAAGACGAUCAGAUACCGUCGUAGUCUUAACCAUAAACUAUGCCGACUAGGGAUCGGGCGAAGUUGUUUCAAUGACUUGCUCGGCACCUUAUGGG
rnacentral:rRNA from 1 species